UACAGAGGGUGCGAGCGUUGUCCGGAAUCACUGGGCGUAAAGGGUGCGUAGGUGGCUCGUUAAGCGUGUGGUGAAAGCCUGGGGCUCAACCCCAGGUCUGCCAUGCGAACUGGCAAGCUUGAGCAUAGUAGAGGCGGGUGGAAUUCCGGGUGUAGCGGUGGAAUGCGUAGAUAUCCGGAAGAACACCGGUGGCGAAGGCGGCCCGCUGGGCUAUUGCUGACACUGAUGCACGACAGCGUGGGGAGCAAACAGG
rnacentral:rRNA from 1 species